rnacentral:rRNA from 1 species
AGCCCUAGAGAUUAUCUAAGGUGUAACCUGCCCAAUGAUUUUAAAAUAAAUAAAUAAAAGUUAUGAAAUAAAAUUAAAAGGACGCGGUAACCUUGACCGUGAUAAUGUAGCAUAAUCAUUCGCCAUUUAAUUGAUGGAUAGUAUGAAUGGUUGAACGAAUAUUUCACUGUCUUAAAAAGAAAUAACAAAAAAUUGGAAUAAUAGUAAAGAUACUAUUUAAGAUUGUAAGACGAAAAGACCCUAUAGAGCUUAACUAUAAUCUCUUUAAAUUAAAAGAAAUAUUUUCAAAAACAAAGAGAUUGGUAGUUUAGUUGGGGCGACUAUCUUUUAAAAAUAACAAAGAUAAGCAAAGUAAAUAAAAACACUUAUUGUAUAAUUAAUUAAUUUAACAAUUAUAAAAAUAGGCUAUAAUGACCCGUUAUUAUUUUAUAAAUAAAAAUAACGAUCAAUAAAUAAAAGCUACCUUAGGGAUAACAGGAUAAUUUUAUUUUAGAGAUCUUAUCGAAAAUAAAGUUUGUCACCUCUAUGUUGAAUUAAGAUAUCCUGACAAUGCAGAAGUUGUCAAAGGUGGGUCUGUUCGACCCUUAAAAUCUUA